CCAGCGAAAAAAGACCUACGAAAAAAGAACUACGAAAGAAAAAACAACGACAAAAAAUCAGGCGACUCGCACGAGCGAGGCCUCUAGAUCCCGUCACCACCGCCCGACGCCGCCAGCCCCGUCCUCCUCCCUGGCUCCCGGCGCCGCCCGGCCCCAUCUCCUCUUGCGAUCCUGGCGUCGCCCCGCCCCACCUUCUCCCUCACUCCCAGCGCUACCUAUCGAUCCCCUCAACGACACAGAGCCGCCGUCCUCUCAUGCGAUCUCACUGCCGCCACCCUCCGAUCCGCUCCUCCUCUCCCGAGGAUACGCAGCCGCAUCCGCCGAUGCCGAUCCGGGCAGGCGCGGCCGUCGUGGAUCACGAGGAUCCGGAUGAUGGGGCGGCAGAGAUGGCCACGGAUCUGUUACGGCGACGACGGCGCCUGAUCCGCACCCGCAGCAUCCGGAUGGAGGUCGGCGACAAACCCUAGCCUAGACGUCAGCAUCGGGAUCCAACCCCUGCUCUCGGUGCUGGGGCUAGGCAUAUGGGGGUGCUUGCUGCCGCGGUGGACCUCGACGCCGGCGACAUCUGCAGCAUCUCCCUCCCGUCGGGCUGCAGGACCUGUAUGCCCAAGUGGUAGUGAUGGAUCUAGUAUGAGCAUAAACUGGCGAAUAAUCCAGCGGUCGGAUGAGGAUAAAUGUGCGGCUACAAACUCUGGUCCUCGCCGGCGUCGUGGUCGGAGGCCACGUUGACCCUACCUCUGCAUCUAGCGGUGCCGGGUUCUUCCCGUUGCUGCACCACCUCGCGGCCUAGGGAGACCAGGCGCUGGCGUGACCCCACUCCCGCUGCUGUUUUGUCUCUUCAGAUAAUCCAUAUCAGGUUAGUUCCAUGCUGCUUCGCUCGACGGCAGUUAUCCUUCUGGCUUGCUCUCUCGUGGGAAGUAGCAUGUGGCUCUGUUAAUUUAUCAGAAGCCCGACACGAAGGAUGAGCAUGUGAGGAUUAAGGAUGCAGGAGGCAAGGUCAUCCGAUGUAAUGGUUACCGAGUGUAUGAAAUACUUGUCAAAUGUGGCUCAGUGAUAGAAUUAAGAAUGAAGGAGGAAGAUACCAGCACAAUCCCCAGCAAUAAAGACUGCGGCAAGGGCGACGACAGUGUGUCUCGGCGAGCGUGAGCAAUGGCAGCAUCAUCUCCGACUCCGAGUACCUGACCAAGACGCUGUCCAGGUCACACGUCGAGGACUUCCUCCUGGACGAUGCCGCCUCCUUGGUUGUUGUUGUCGUCUCCUCAAAUAAGUCGUAUCAGCGCAUUUAGGCUCUGGUCAACAAGUGGACGGACAGGUUGUCCAUUCUUGUUGUUCUUGCGUGUCAAGAUUCUUGGCUGCAGACUUGCAGUUCUGCAGAUACACCAUGAUUGCAGCAGGUGUUGGAAGAAAUCAUCCGAUGGUCGUAACUGACGAAGGAAGUGCUUUGUAUACGGACAAGCUGGGGACGAGUUCACUAAGGAGUGGUUGACUCCCUCUCCUGUUGCUUUUUUUAUGGUUGAUAGAUGACACAACUAGAAGUGCAGCAAAUACAACUUAUAUUGUCACCUGUUCUUAGAACCUACUUGUUUGGGUGAUAAUGAAACCAAUACAAAUAUUUAUGACAUGAGCAUAUACAUAACUUAUAUUGUUUAGGACCAUGGGGUGGUUCUGACAAUUUUAUGGGAAUUUGACCAUAUGGGAAACUCAUUUUCCACUGUGUUCUUCGUUGCUGUUAUUUUUGUGUUCUCCCUGACUCCAUGUUGUUCCAAAUUUGGUGCAGGGACUAAGGUGUCACCACUCCCCUGCCUUGUUACUAAAGCAACUAAUGUUGUUUGUGGUGCUGACUUCACUAUCUAACUUUCAUCGGUUGAGGGAUCUUCCGUACUGUAUGGCCUUCCUGAAACUAUGAAACUUAAAGAUUAGCACGCUCUUUUUUCUUUCAGAUAAAGCAAAAGGCUUUGAUCAUCUUCUCAUGAUAAAAUGUUUAGAUAAUUAUCUGCUUUGGUUGUUAUUAGUGGGGUUUUCCUACGUCAUUUCUUUGAAGAUGUAUUUAGUUCUUCUGUGCUAUUCAGUACAUCAGACUUCCUCGGUAUGGCUAACUUGGUCAUGGAAGCGAUAAUCAGGUUGGUUGCUACAAUGUUAACACACGACACCUACUAAAUUUGCAACACUAGAGGCGGGGACUCCUAGACCUAUGCUAAUUGACUUAAUUAAUUAUUAUUAUUGUUCGUUAGGCGUCCAAACAGGCAGCUGAGCGUUGGACAUGGCCUUAUGCCUCCGAAUAAUAUGUUCAUACACCAUAAGUUCUUUGCAAUAUUCAUACACCCAAUUCAGUACUAUUUUCCAUAUUUUAACUUUACGUACAGUUUUUAUUAUCUGCUGUUAAUUAUAAGUACCAAUCAAAACUGUUAAUUAUAAGGCCAUAGCAUAGCCCUAUAUUUAUUGUGUUCAGUGACCUUUUUUAUGAAAAUCAUUGCUACGAGUCACCAUUUCAUAAUUGGUGUUCAUAUCCUAAUCCUUUUGUAUUUGCAAGAUCACUCCUUAAUGUUAAGAGGGGAGGGAUGAUUUUAAGGAUAUUUUUGUAAAAGGAGGACAUUGACAAAAACAUUGAAUACAACGGCAGUGAUAAGAUUUGUGCAUUGUUUUUUUUAACACAAACUAAUAUGUGGAUACUAGGAAUAUGGCUGAAUUAAUAAACAUUGUUACUUUCUUUUUGCAUCCAGAAUCUUUGCGUGGUAGCCUGCUUGCCGCCAAGAUAGUUAGCCCCUGAGCUCCUGAAGAAAGGACAGUUGAAGGAAAUGAAAGAAGCGAACACAAAGGAUCCUACACCAAAGGAUGAAGAGGUCGAGGAAGUGAUGGAAGGGGGUGCAUGGAGGAAGACAGGUGCAUGGUGGAAGCUGGCGUGAUGGCUGCGAAGGUCAAAGGAGAGAAGGCUAGCACUGGACUUAUUUUGGAGUCUCUUGACAGGCACAUCGCACAUCAACCUUGGGUGAUUUAAGUGAGGGUGGUUCUAUCUUUUCCGCCCUCUAAUUUCUGUCAAUGACUAAAGAUAGAUGAUUAGGGAAAAUUUUAAAAUAUUAGCAUGGAUUAUUGGCCA